rnacentral:rRNA from 1 species
GCAUGCCUAACACAUGCAAGUCGAACGGGAUCCAAGCUUCGGUUUGGUGAGAGUGGCGAACGGGUGAGUAACGCGUGGGAACCUGCCCAGAGGUACGGAAUAACAGUUGGAAACGACUGCUAAUACCGUAUGAGCCCGAGAGGGGAAAGAUUUAUCGCCUUUGGAGGGGCCCGCGUCAGAUUAGGUAGUUGGUGGGGUAAAGGCCUACCAAGCCUACGAUCUGUAGCUGGUCUUAGAGGAUGAUCAGCCACACUGGGACUGAGAUACGGCCCAGACUCCUACGGGAGGCAGCAGUGGGGAAUAUUGGACAAUGGGGGCAACCCUGAUCCAGCAAUGCCGCGUGAGUGAUGAAGGCCUUCGGGUUGUAAAGCUCUUUUGCCAGGGACGAUAAUGACGGUACCUGGAGAAUAAGCCCCGGCUAACUUCGUGCCAGCAGCCGCGGUAAUACGAAGGGGGCUAGCGUUGUUCGGAAUUACUGGGCGUAAAGGGCGCGUAGGCGGUCUGAUAAGUUAGGUGUGAAAUUCCCGGGCUUAACCUGGGCGCUGCACUUAAUACUGUUGGGCUUGAAUUCGGGAGAGGAUAGUGGAAUUCCCAGUGUAGUGGUGAAAUUCGUAGAUAUUGGGAAGAACACCAGUGGCGAAGGCGACUAUCUGGACCGACAUUGACGCUGAGGCGCGAAAGCGUGGGGAGCAAACAGGAUUAGAUACCCUGGUUAGUCCACGCCGUAAAACGAUGAGUGCUAGACCGCUGGUAGGUUUACCUAUCGGGUGUCGCAAGCUAACGCAUUAAGCAACUCCGCCCUGGGGAAGUACGGGUCGCCAAGAUU